CCAGUGUGACUCGUCACACUAUCAUUAACUGAAUCCAUAGGUUAAUGAGGCGAACCGGGGGAACUGAAACAUCUAAGUACCCCGAGGAAAAGAAAUCAACCGAGAUUCCCCCAGUAGCGGCGAGCGAACGGGGAGGAGCCCAGAGCCUGAAUCAGCAUGUGUGUUAGUGGAAGCGUCUGGAAAGGCGCGCGAUACAGGGUGACAGCCCCGUACACAAAAGCGCAUGUGCUGUGAGCUCGAUGAGUAGGGCGGGACACGUGGUAUCCUGUCUGAAUAUGGGGGGACCAUCCUCCAAGGCUAAAUACUCCUGACUGACCGAUAGUGAACCAGUACCGUGAGGGAAAGGCGAAAAGAACCCCGGCGAGGGGAGUGAAAAAGAACCUGAAACCGUGUACGUACAAGCAGUGGGAGCCCCACCACCAAAGCAUUUGCUGUACCGCGUUGACGGAGCGAAGCGACGUCAAACCG
rnacentral:rRNA from 1 species